GACACAACUUCUUAAAAAGAAAAAAAUAUUUUGAAAAUAUUUUUCGAAAUUUUUGAAAAUUUCUUGUUUCU
rnacentral:tRNA from 1 species